rnacentral:rRNA from 1 species
GGUCAAGGUACUAAGGGCACGCGGUGGAUGCCUUGGCGGCGGGAGGCGAUGAAGGGCGUGGCAAGCUGCGAUAAGCCCGGGGGAGCCGCAAGCAGGCGUUGAUCCCGGGAUUCCCGAAUGGGGAAACCUGGGUGGCCGUUGAGGCCACUCGCCGCCGAAAGGCGGUGCGAUACCGGGGGAAGUGAAACAUCUCAGUACCCCGAGGAAAAGAAAUCAACCGAGAUUCCCCUAGUAGCGGCGAGCGAACGGGGAGGAGCCCAAACCAGCGUGGUGUCAAAGCCCGUGGGCGUUGCCACGCUGGGGUUGCGGGACACGGCCGGGCGAGGCCACGGACUCGCCGGGGAGUUACAAAUCCCUCCUCUAGCCGAACCACCUGGGAAGGUGGGCCGGAGAGGGUGACAGCCCCGUAGGCGAAAGGGGAGGGACUCCCUGGGCCGUGCUCCCGAGUACCGCGGGACACGUGGAAUCCCGUGGGAAGCUGGGGGGACCACCCUCCAAGGCUAAAUACUACCCGCCGUCCGAUAGUGCACCAGUACCGUGAGGGAAAGGUGAAAAGCACCCCGGAAGGGGAGUGAAAGAGGACCUGAAACCGCGUGCCUACAAGAAGUCGGAGCCCCCAUUUGGGGGUGACGGCGUGCCUUUUGAUUAAUGAGCCCGCGAGUUGCCGUCGGUGGCGAGGUUAAGCCGAUGAAGGCGUAGCCGCAGCGAAAGCGAGUCCGAACAGGGCGUUCAGUCACCGGCGGCAGACCCGAAGCCGGGUGAGCUACCCCUGGGCAGGGUGAAGGUGGGUUAAAACCCACUGGAGGCCCGAACCGGUGGACAGUGAAAAGUCCUCGGAUGACCUGGGGGUAGGAGUGAAAAGCUAACCGAACCCGGUGAUAGCUGGUUCUCCCCGAAAUGCAUUGAGGUGCAGCCUCGGGCGGUCUGUGCAGGGGGUAGAGCACUGAUGGGGCUAGGGGGGUUUCCUCCGAACCCCGUCAAACUCCGAAUUCCUGCACACAAAGCCCGGGAGUGAGCCCGCGGGGGAUAAGCUCCGCGGACGAGAGGGGAACAACCCAGACCGCCGGCUAAGGGCCCGAAGAGGUGGCUAAGUGGUAAAGGAUGUGGAGUGCCUAAGACAGCUGGGAUGUUGGCUUAGAAGCAGCCAUCAUUUAAAGAGUGCGUAACAGCUCACCAGCCGAGGCGCUCUGCACCGAAAAUGUAACGGGGCUCAAGCCACCCCCCGAAGCCGCGGGUCAGUGCCUCCGGGAGGUACUGGCGGUAGGGGAGCUUUCCGCUGUAGGGUGAAGGCGGACCCGCGAGGGCCGCUGGACGAGGCGGAAGUGAGAAUGCGGGCAUGAGUAUACGAAAGGAGGGUGAGAAUCCCUCCCCCCGUAAGCCCAAGGGUACCUGGGGAAGGGUCGUCCGCCCAGGGUUAGCCGGGACCCUAAGGUGAACCCGAAAGGGGUAGCCGAAGGGAAGCCGGUUAAUAUUCCGGCGCCAUCUGCGGUCGAUGGUACGAGGGGUGACGCAGGAGGGUAGGCGCCGGGGGCAAGUGGCAUGCCCCUCCAAGCGGUUAGGGCGAUGACGGGCGUAGGUAAAUCCGCGCCCCGAGCCUGAGCCGUGAUGGGGAGGUCCCUUCGGGGACCAACGGCGCUGACCCCACACUGCCGAGAAAAACCUCGCGUACCGCUUGAGACCGUAGGUGCCCGUUCCGCAAACCGACACAGGUGGGCGGGCUGAGAAGGCUCAGGGGAGCGGGUGAACCCUCGCCAAGGAACUCGGCAAAUUGGCCCCGUAACUUCGGGAGAAGGGGUGCCGCGUUAGGGUGAACCCAGGGGAAGGGGCAACCCGGAAACUGGGGGAGCCCGAGGCGGUCGCAGUGACAAGGCCCUGGCGACUGUUUACCAAAAACACAGGUCUCUGCUAACUCGGAAAGAGGAAGUAUAGGGACUGACGCCUGCCCAGUGCCGGAAGGUUAAGGGGAGGGGUGAGGCUCCUCUUGUGGGAGCGUAGCUCCGACCCGAAGCCCCGGUAAACGGCGGCCGUAACUAUAACGGAAGGUGAGCGAAAUUCCUUGUCGGGUAAGUUCCGACCUGCAUGAAUGGCGUAACGACUGGGGCACUGUCUCGGCGGGGGGCCCGGUGAAAUUUCAGUCUGGGUGAAGAUGCCCAGUACCCGCGGCUAGACGGAAAGACCCCGUGGAGCUUUACUGCAGCCUGGUAUUGGGCUCCGGUGCAUCGUGUAUAGAAUAGGUGGGAGGCUGUGAAGCCGCCUCGCCAGGGGCGGUGGAGCCGCCAGUGGAAUACCACCCUCGGUGCACUGGAGUUCUAACCUGACCCUGUGAAGAGCAGGGUGGGGACAGUGCCAGGUGGGCAGUUUGACUGGGGCGGUCACCUCCUAAAAGGUAACGGAGGUGUGCAAAGGUCGGCUCAGGUGGGUUGGAAAUCCACCGCAGAGUGCAAGGGCAUAAGCCGGCCUGACUGCGAGGCCGACAGGCCGAGCAGGGGGGAAACCCGGCCCUAGUGACCCGGCGGUCCCGUGUGGAAGGGCCGUCGAUCAACGGAUAAAAGUUACCCCGGGGAUAACAGGCUGGUCCCGCCCGAGAGUUCACAUCGACGGCGGGGUUCGGCACCUCGAUGUCGGCUCAUCCCAUCCUGGGGCUGAAGCAGGUCCCAAGGGUUGGGCUGUUCGCCCAUUAAAGGGGUACGUGAGCUGGGUUCAGACCGUCGUGAGACAGGUCGGUCCCUAUCUGCCGCGGGCGUAGGAGGCUUGAGGGGGGUCCUCCCUUGUACGAGAGGACCGGGAGGAGGGGGCCUCUGGUGUACCGGCUGUCGCGCCAGCGGCAUACGCCGGGUAGCUAUGCCCCUAAGCGAUAACCGCUGAAAGCAUCUAAGCGGGAAGCGCGCCCCAAGAUUAGGCCUCCCAUCCCGUUAAGGGAGUAAGGCCGGUCCGAGAAGAGGACCUUGAUAGGCCAGGGGUGUAAGCGCCGCAAGGCGUUGAGCCCACUGGUACUAAUCGGCCGAGGCCUUGACCUC